UAAGGUGAAGAGCUAUUAACAUGCAAGACUCUUGAACAUUGAAUUUCCUCAAUGAAAUAUGCUUGUUAUGUUUGACUUCUAAUCUUC